rnacentral:rRNA from 1 species
GAUGAACGCUGGCGGCGUGCUUAACACAUGCAAGUCGAACGGAAAGGCCAGUGCUUGCACUGGUGCUCGAGUGGCGAACGGGUGAGUAACACGUGGGUGAUCUGCCCUGCACUUUGGGAUAAGCCUGGGAAACUGGGUCUAAUACCAGAUAGGACCAUGCUUUGGAUGGUGUGGUGGAAAGUUUUUUCGGUGUGGGAUGAGCUUGCGGCCUAUCAGCUUGUUGGUGGGGUAAUGGCCUACCAAGGCGUGGACGGGUAGCCGGCCUGAGAGGGUGUACGGCAUCGUGGAGACUGCGAGGCGCCCCAGACGCCGGGGGGAGGGAGCAGGGGGGAAAAUGCGAAAAGGGGGGCGAGCCGGAGGCGGCGGCGCCCGUGGGGGUGUGACGGCCUUUGGUUUGUAAACCCCUUCCGCAGCGGCCGAAGGUUUUUGGGAGGUAGGUUGGGAAAGAGCCCCGGGUAAACACGUG